CCUACGGGAGGCAGCAGUGGGGAAUCUUGCGCAAUGGGCGAAAGCCUGACGCAGCAACGCCGCGUGCGGGAUGAAGGCCUUCGGGUUGUAAACCGCUUUCAGCAGGGAAGAAAUUGACGGUACCUGCAGAAGAAGCCCCGGCCAACUACGUGCCAGCAGCCGCGGUAACACGUAGGGGGCGAGCGUUGUCCGGAUUUAUUGGGCGUAAAGAGCUCGUAGGCGGUUCGGUAAGUCGGGUGUGAAACCUCCAGGCUCAACCUGGAGACGCCACCUGAAACUGCUGUGACUAGAGUCCGGUAGGGGAGUGUGGAACUCCUGGUGUAGCGGUGAAAUGCGCAGAUAUCAGGAAGAACACCAGCGGCGAAGGCGGCACUCUGGGCCGGUACUGACGCUGAGGAGCGAAAGCGUGGGUAGCAAACAGGAUUAGAUACCCUGGUAGUCCACGCCGUAAACGUUGGGCACUAGGUGUGGGUCUCAACCAACGAGAUCCGUGCCGCAGCUAACGCAUUAAGUGCCCCGCCUGGGGAGUACGGCCGCAAGGCUAAAACCGUUAANAAGUAGUAGUACGCGCGAGAGACGCGACGACGACGACGACGGAGGAG
rnacentral:rRNA from 1 species